AGAGUUUGAUCAUGGCUCAGAUUGAACGCUGGCGGCGUGCCUAACACAUGCAAGUCGAGCGGUAACAGGUGUAGCAAUACAUGCUGACGAGCGGCGGACGGGUGAGUAACGCUUGGGAAUCUGCCUGUUAGUGGGGGACAACCCGGGGAAACUCGGGCUAAUACCGCAUACGCACUACGGUGGAAAGCCGGGGACCGCAAGGCCUGGCGCUAACAGAUGAGCCCAAGUCGGAUUAGCUAGUUGGUAGGGUAACGGCCUACCAAGGCGACGAUCCGUAACUGGUCUGAGAGGACGACCAGUCACACCGGAACUGAGACACGGUCCGGACUCCUACGGGAGGCAGCAGUGGGGAAUAUUGGACAAUGGGCGAAAGCCUGAUCCAGCGACGCCGCGUGGGUGAAGAAGGCCUGCGGGUUGUAAAGCCCUUUCGGUGGGGAAGAAAAGCCUCGAGCUAACACCUCGGGGUCUUGACGUAACCCAUAGAAGAAGCACCGGCUAACUCUGUGCCAGCAGCCGCGGUAAUUC
rnacentral:rRNA from 1 species